rnacentral:rRNA from 1 species
UACAGAGGGUGCGAGCGUUGUUCGGAAUUAUUGGGCGUAAAGGGCGCGUAGGCGGUGCGGUAAGUCACCUGUGAAAUCUCCUGGCUCAACUGGGAGCUUGCAGGCGAAACUGCCGUGCUGGAGUGUGGGAGAGGUGCGUGGAAUUCCUGGUGUAGCGGUGAAAUGCGUAGAUAUCAGGAGGAACACCUGUGGCGAAAGCGGCGCACUGGACCACAACUGACGCUGAGGCGCGAAAGCGUGGGGAGCGAACCGG